rnacentral:rRNA from 1 species
UACAGAGGGGGCAAGCGUUGUUCGGAAUUACUGGGCGUAAAGGGCGCGUAGGCGGCCUUCUAAGUCGAACGUGAAAUCCCUGGGCUCAACCCAGGAACUGCGUCCGAUACUGGAUGGCUUGAAUCCGGGAGAGGGAUGCAGAAUUCCAGGUGUAGCGGUGAAAUGCGUAGAUAUCUGGAGGAAUACCGGUGGCGAAGGCGGCAUCCUGGACCGACAUUGACGCUGAGGAGCGAAAGCUAGGGGAGCAAACGGG